GGGAGGGGAACAGGCUGCAGCCCCCCAGGGUGGGGAACAAUUCCUUUAUACCCCUCCCCCACCACACAGGAGCCAGGGCAGAAGGACUCCAUUUCCCAGAAUGCCGGAUUCCUGACUUCUCCCUAGUCUUGGCUCCUCCCCACUGUGGCAGCCGCGGGGCAUGCUGGGAACCUUAUGUGCGAUCUCAGCUCUUGGAAAAGUCUCUAGUGAUCUUCUUGGACCUUUGCCUAGGCACACACAGAGGAAGUCUCCCCUCCUCGGGGCUGCCACCCCCUGAAGCCCCGCAGAGACCCCGCAGCCAGAGGAAUGGCCCCCGGGACCCCGAGGCCCCCCUCCCAGGGGUCAAUAACAUUCAAGGAUGUGGCUGUGGACUUCACCCAGGAAGAGUGUGUAAUGUCCAGUUCUGGCUCCGAUUCCAUGGAGGACACACACACGGUAAUGCAACACACAAGAGUGGUGCCUCUUGGACCAUUCUCAGAAAGAGCUGUACCUGGAGGUCAUGCUGGAGAAUGUGCAGAAUCUAUUCUCUGUGGGGCUUCCAGUAACUAGCGAACAUUUAAUCUCCUGUUUUCAGCAAGGGAAAGCACCAUGGCUGCUAGAGCAAAAAGACCCAAGGAGCUCCUCUCCAGUGGUAGAUUUUGAAGUGAAGGUUAUGUGUACAAAGCUGAGCCUUUUUGUGGAAGGAUCUGGCCCCCAAAGAUGCAUUAAUGAGGAUCCUCAUUACUUCAUUUUGAGAGAAAUAUGUGAUUCUACUAUCAAAGUAAAUAAAAAUCCAAAGAGUGACUAUGAAAUUGCAGAGAAAUUCAACUAAUAUUCAGUCCUAACGCAGUAUAUGAAAAUAACCUCAGGAAAUGACUGUUGUCAGGAUACCAAAUAUAGGAAAUGCUUUCCUGAAGAAUUAGGAUUUGUUCAGUCACCUGAGAAACCUGAAAAUAUAUCAAGGUACGAUAGGAGGAAUGGCCAUUGGUUGGAAUUUAGACUCCAUUAGACAUCCAAAAAGUAAACCUUUCAAGAUAUUUUCUGUGAAUAAUAAAGUUGGGAGACCUUUCAGUCAGAAAUCUAAGCUUUCUACACAUCAGAGAAUCCACACUAGAAAGAAACCUCAUGAAUAUAAACAUUGUGGAAAGGCUUUCACAUAGAGAGGCUCUGUUGUUCACCAUGAGAGAAUACACACAGGAGAGAAACCUUAUGAAUGUCAACACUGUAGAAAGGCUUUCAUACAGAGGAGUAAUCUUGCUACACAUCAGAGCAUCCACACUGGAGAGAAACCUUAUAAAUGUCAACACUGUGGAAAGGCUUUCAGACAGAGGAGCAGUCUUGCUACACAUCAGAGAAUCCACACUAGAGAGAAACUCUAUGAAUGUAAACAUUGUGGAAAGGCUUUCACAAAGAGGGCCUCUUUUGUUCAACAUGAGAGAAUCUACACUGGAGAGAAACCUUAUGAAUGUCAAAAUGUGGAAAGGCUUUUUUCAUAAAUAGGGGCCAUGUUAUUGCACAUCUGAGCAUCCACACUGAAGAGAAUCCUUAUAAAUAUCAACAGUGUGGAAAGCCUUUCACACAGAGGCACAGUCUUAUUGUACAUCAAAGAAUCCACACUGGAGAGAAACCUCAUGAAUGUAAACACCGUGGAAAGGCUUUCACAAAGAGGGGCAAUCUUAUUGCACAUCAGAGCAUCCACACUAGAGAGAAACCUUAUGAAUGUCAACAAUGUGGAAAAGCUUUUACAGAGAAAGGAUCCCUUGCUAAACAUCAGAUCAUCCACACAGGAGGGAAACCUCAUAAAUGUAAACACUGUGGAAAGACCUUCACAAAUAGGAGUAGACUUAUUGCACAUCAGAGAAUCCGCACUGGAGAGAAACCUUAUGAAUGUAAAACAGUGUGUAAAGGCUUUUAUGCUAAGGAGUAAUUUUUCCAGACAUCAGAAAAUCCCCACUGGAGGCAAACCUCAUGAAUGUAAACAUGGAAAGACUUUUACAUGGAAGGAAUCUCUUUCCAGACAUCUGACGAUCCAGAUGGGAGAGAAAACUUAUUGUAUGGAAUAAAAUCAUGUUUUAUUCUCCAGCAUGUAUUAAUUAGUAUUAAUAAUUUUUAAUUGGUAAGUCCCUAUAGAAGAGUUGUGAAAAUCUGGUGACUAUCGGACGGGAGAUACUAAUCUCUUCUUAUGAAGAGUUGAGAAAUCCCGCUCCCCAGCAUCUUUUUACCUACAUAAAUAUACACCUUCAAUUCAUUCUAUUCUUAUGUGGUUAAAACUUCUUUUAAAAAAUUCAUAUUCAGGGGGAACAGAUGGGUAGCUCAGUGAAUUGAGAGCCAGGCCUAGAGAUGGGAGGUUCUAGGUUCAAAUCUGGCCUCAGACAUUUCCCAGCUGUGUGACCCUGGGCAAGUCACUUGACCUUCAUUGCCUAUCACUUGCCACUCUUCUGCCUUGGAGCCAAUAGACAAUAUUGAUUCCAAGAUGGAAAGUAAGGAAAGAUGCACUUCAGGCAGAUAGAGAGCAGAAAGAACUUCAUUAAUAAUUUCUGAAUUUGGUAUGGAUUUUCUAGCUGAGGUUAAAAAUCCUCUCUAGAGCCAUAGCAUCCCAACCGAGUGACAAAUGCCAAAAACAUAUCUAGAAUCCAUAUAAAUUGUUGCAUCUUUACCCUUGGCAAUUAUACAGGCAUGUUUGAGAGCUAUGAGUUCUGCUCCUUGAGCACUAAUAUUAGAGGGUAGCAAAGCUGACCACUCAGUGGCAAAUUCUGUGACUACAGCAGCUCCAUUGUAGCAUAUGCCAUCUCUCAUAAAAGAAGGACCAUCAGUAAAUAAGACCAGAUCUAGAUUGUCUAAGGGAGUGUCCAAGAGAUUAUCUAGAGGCUUUUCUGCCUUGGACACUAGUAUUUCACAAUUGUGCAAUGGCUCUCCUGAAAAUUGGUAAAUCUGGAAGCAAGGUGGCAGUGUUAAGGGUUGAACAGCGUUUCAAGGUAAUGUUUUCAUUGUUUAACAAGGUUAUUUCAUACCUUGUAAUUCACUGAUCAGAAAAUGCCUGUGCUCUAUGUCUUAGCAACAAUGCUUCUAUCUCAUGGGAGCACAUAAUUGUUAAUGGGUAUCCCAAUACUAAAUCAACAGUUUUUGUCACUAGUACGGCUGUAGCACCUACUCCUCUAAGACAGGGUGGUGCUCCUGAUGCUACUGGGUCCAGUUGGACAGAAUAAUAAACAAUUGGGCACUGAGAAGGCCCCAAAGUCUGGGUUAAAACACGUGAAGCUACCCCUCUUCACUCAUGUACAUACAAAGUAAAUGGCUUCUUGAAAUCUGGGAGGCCUAGAGUGAGGGCAGACAGGAUAGUCUGUUUUUGAUUUGAUAGAGCUGACAAGUGUUCUGGCUCUAAAUUUAGGGGUUCAGGGACCAAAUCCCUUAUUAGUUCUAUAAGGGGUUAGUAAAGGUGAAUAUAUUUGGGAUUUUUUCAUCUCUCUUUCUCUUGCUCUCUUUCCCUGAUUGGCGGUGAAGAGUUAGUUGAGAGCUGUGUGCUGAGCCUUAGGCUACGAGCUAUUGUCCAAUUCAGUGGUGAGUUUCUGGCUGAAUUUUCCCCCUUUAAUUUUCAACUUUUUCCUCUCAGAAGCCUCUAAUCUUCUUCAGAUACCUAGAGGCAGGGAGUUUAAAACUCCCCCUGGCUUAGGCCAGGUAGGAGAAAUCCUAUAUCCUCUUUUUUUUUCUCCUCCUUAAAUUCCUUCCUUCUAUAUUAAUUAAAUUACCAUAAAUUUCCAGACUGACUUGGGGGUUUUAUUUGGCAACCAUUGUAAGAUAAUUUUAGCUUUGUGACUUUAAAUCUAAAUAAUUGGUCACCAGGGAAAAUUCCCAAAUAAUAAAAUGCCCAAGUCAGCUGAGCAUGAUGGUUAUUUUUAUACAGAGAGAAGGAAUUAAGGAAAGGAGAGAGAGAGAGAGAGAGAGAGAGAGAGAGAGAGAGAGAGAGAGAAUUAAUUUAAACUGCUCUGGCUCAGGCUGAGUCAGGCAGUAUUUAAAGGCCUUGGUCAAAGUGGCCUCCCUGAGCCUAAGGGAAAGGGAGUCAGUCUUAUAACUCACCACGAGACAGUCUCCAGGAAACUGUCUGAGGAUAAUCCUCCAGGCUGAGUUCUAGUCCUCCACUGAACUCAGUCUCCUGAACUGAGUUCAAUUGCCUGAACUGACUAUUUUAGCCACCUUUUAAAGAAAUUUUCUCUUAUGUCACCUCCCCUAAAUUUUCACAUCUACCAAUCAUAGCAGACUCUUUUUUCCAGGACUGCCUAUUCUUUAGUUCUCACCUUCUUUGAUUAGAUUUUCUCCAGGACUAUCUACUCUUUAGUUCUCACCUUCUCUGAUUAGAUUAUAUCUUCUAAGGUACUUCACACUGCUUUUUUAAGCUUACCUUUUGGGAGUUACUUGACCUUUUUGUGAUUAAUUUAACCUUUAUAGGUACUUAACACCCUUUGUAGUAGAUCUAAAAAUAGACUUAGCUUAUGUUUUAGCUUCACUAUAAGGUAUGAGUUAAGUACCUUCAUUGUUCAAUCAGGAGUUUACAACUUUAUCUUCCCCUAAAGUAUGUCUAGUUAGGGUGGAGUAAUGUCCAAGUUCACACCAUUUAAAUCUAGAUUUAAAGUCACAACCCUAAAAUUAUCUUGACAAUACUAACCACAAAACAAUGAUCCAGGACAAUUCUGAGAGACUUCUGAAAAAGAAUGCUCUCCAUCUCCAAAGAAAGAACUAUUGGAGCAGAAAUGAAGGUGAAAACAUAUGACUUAUCACUUGUUUAUUUGGGUAUAUGAUUUGGGGGUUUGAUUUUAUAGAAUUGUUCACUUAUAGGAAUGACUAAUGUGGAAAUAAAAGAAUUGAGAGAACAUUACAAGAUAUAAAAUGAAUAAUUAUGUUUAAGGAAAUGUACAAAUAAAUGCAAUGCAAGGAAGUUUAGGUGGAAAUAAACUGGGGGAAAUGUAUAACAAA